GGCCACAUCACAUUAAAACAUCUGUUCCCAUACGAUCACCGAAGUUAAGCAACGUCGAGCCUGUUCAGUACCUAGAUGAGUGAGUGCUUGAGUAUACCAACUGUUGUAA